rnacentral:rRNA from 1 species
UUCUGACCUCGGAUCAGGUGGGACUACCCGCUGAACUUAAGCAUAUCAAUAAGCGGAGGAAAAGAAACUAACAAGGAUUCCCUUAGUAACUGCGAGUGAAGUGGGAUGAGCUCAAAUUUGAAAUCUGGUAGUCUCUGGCUACCCGAGUUGUAAUCUAGAGAAGUGUUUUCUGUGCUGGACUGUGUUUAAGUUUCCUGGAUAUGGAACAUCAUAGAGGGUGAGAAUCCCGUCUUUGACACAGGCUGCCAGUACUGUGUGAUGCACUCUCAACGAGUCGAGUUGUUUGGGAU